UACAGAGGUGGCAAGCGUUGUUCGGAAUUACUGGGCGUAAAGAGUGCGUAGGCGGUUUUCUAAGUUUGGUGUGAAAUCUCCCGGCUUAACUGGGAGGGUGCGCCGAAAACUGGAAGGCUUGAGUAUGGGAGAGGUAAGCGGAAUUCCUGGUGUAGCGGUGAAAUGCGUAGAUAUCAGGAGGAACACCUGCGGUGUAGACGGCUUACUGGACCAUAACUGACGCUGAGGCACGAAAGCGUGGGGAUCAAACAGG
rnacentral:rRNA from 1 species